rnacentral:lncRNA from 1 species
GGAUUGCUAGCUGCUGCUGCUGCUUGUUAUCCACCUUCUGUUCGUUGUUGUUUGUGUUACUACUUCUAGCAGGGAUUACGAUUUUGGUACUCUGGUUGGUGCUGAAGCCCAUCCACUUGCCCAAAUAUAGCCUCGACAACGUUGAUUUUCGUAGCUUCAGUGUGGGACAGAACAGCACUCUUAAUGCCGAUAUCCUCUACACUAUCACGGCUAACAAUCCCAACAAGAAGAUCGGCAUCAAAUACGACAACAUCGACAUACAAUCCUCGUAUGACGGGCAAGUCUUCGGGCGCAGCACCAUCCCCGGCUUCUACCAAGGUCACCAGAACAUCACGACCAUCACGUCUGAAGUCCUCGUCAAUGACUACGCGCUUACUUCAACCUCCGCAACUACUCUUGCCUCACAGAUCCAGAGCA